AAUGGGAGGAUAAAAAAUCAGAUUUUUCUUCCUGAUUUUCAGCUUUUUCCUUAUGAAAAAAUUCAAAUCCAACUAAAAAUGCUAAAAAUCAAGAGGAAAAAUAUGAUUUGUCAUCCUCCCAUU
rfam:Gossypium arboreum cultivar AKA8401 contig_12824_5, whole genome shotgun sequence.